rnacentral:rRNA from 1 species
UACGUAGGGUGCAAGCGUUGUCCGGAAUUAUUGGGCGUAAAGAGCUCGUAGGUGGCCUGUCGCGUCGGCUGUGAAAACUCGGGGCUCAACUCCGAGCUUGCAGUCGAUACGGGCAGGCUAGAGUUCGGCAGGGGAGACUGGAAUUCCUGGUGUAGCGGUGAAAUGCGCAGGAUACUAGGAGGAACACCGGUGGCGAAGGCGGGUCUCUGGGCCGAUACUGACACUGAGGAGCGAAAGCGUGGGGAGCGAACAGG